rnacentral:rRNA from 1 species
UUGGCGAACGGGUGAGUAACACGUAGGUAACCUACCCCUAAAACGAGGAUAACAGUUGGAAACGACUGCUAAGCCUGGAUAGUAAUACAGAAGGCAUCUUCUCUACUUUAAAAGACCUUCGGGUCUGCUUAGGGAGGGGCCUGCGGCGCAUUAGUUAGUUGGUGAGGUAACGGCUCACCAUGACGAUGAUGCGUAUCCGGACUGAGAGGUUGAACGGCCACACUGGGACUGAGACACGGCCCAAACUCCUACGGGAGGCAGCAGUAGGGAAUUUUCGGCAAUGGGGGCAACCCUGACCGAGCAACGCCGCGUGAAUGAAAAAGUACUUCGGUACGUAAAAUUCUUUUAUUAGGGAAGAAUGGCUAUUGUAGGAAAUGACAGAAGAAUGACGGUACCUAAUGAAUAACCCCCGGCUAACUAUGUGCCAGCAGCCGCGGUAAUACAUAGGGGGCGAGCGUUAUCCGGAAUUAUUGGGCGUAAAGGGUGCGUAGGCGGCCAUUUAAGUCUGGGGUGUAAGUGCAGU